UCGACUCUGCUGUGAUAAUGCGCUUCUUCAAUCAUUCUGGCGACCGACAACAACAGCGAUAUAAUUUGAAACCAUGAUAUUGAAGGACAAGCAAUGGAGGCCACAUGCUUGGCAGUGCUCUGUUGUUGGGGAGCUUGUUGAAAUGUUCUGCCUGACUGCAAGUGUUGUCCACCAUUUUGCUGUGUUUGGUGAUAAGAAGGACUAUAUAGUUUUAAAAAGUAUUCAAGAAAUUGUUAACCAAGCCACUUACAGGGGCAGGCUCAUUUUUUCUUUCUGAUUCAUUGGUGCUACCACACAAGAACUAUGCAAGACAUGGUUCAAGUCCAUCUCAUUUGGAUGUAAUAUGGUAUAUACAGAAG